rnacentral:lncRNA from 1 species
UCCCGUCCCAGCACCGCGCCGCGGCAGCCCUCACCGGCGUCACUGCGCGCUCCAGCUCGCUGCCCGACCACGACCCGCUCGCCUUCUACUGCCUCUCGGGCCUCGUCGACCCCCUUCCUCCCGUCCCCGGCCCUCCUUGCCGUCGCUCGCCUUCCUCUCCGAAACUCCGACCCGACCAGCACCUCCUCCUCCUACUCCUCCCCGCUGCCCUCCUACGGCGGCGCGCUUCGACGGCCAGGUCAGGAAGCCCGUGGCCGGCGCCUCCUCCCGCCUCCUCUCCCUCCCCGCCGGCUUCCGCGUCGACCGCGACGCCUCGAGGUGCUCAGGUUGUCGUCUCUGUACAGGAGCCGGAGCAAGGGAAGGUGCUUGGCCCCGCGCAGUACUUGGUUGGGGAUGGAGGCUCCGUUCAACGCCGCGCACGAGGCAAUGUGCCGCUCGGUGGCUAUGCCUAUGCGGGAGUCCAUUGGCAGCAACAAUGAGUGAACCGGUGAUUGUUUUGACACCUCCUGUCAUUGUUGAUUCUUUCGAAUCAUGCACUAACUUUUCUAGCUGUGAAUAAUCUACUGUAUCUAUUACAUUCUGUUCUUUAAUCUGUUGGCUGUAUCAUAAAUCAGGUAGUAAUAAAACUGACUAUAGAUUGAUCCGACCUACUAUUCAUGUUAGAUUCGAUACAUUUCUGUUUGCGAUCAAUCUAGCUCACUAGGGAUCAAAGAUUUCUUCGAAUAGCUGAAAGUAGAUGUGUUUUGUUAUAUGGAAUCAAGCAUCCAAACAGAAAGGCAAAAUGAAAUACUACUUUCAAGUUAGUGCUCCAUCUUAAGAAACUAGGACACUAGGUACUGACAAAUCCGGAGAGCCACUACAUAUGGCAGGGAUAAGGCUUGCAGCAACUUUUCUGCAACAUCACAUAAUAUUACUCUUACUUCAGCUAGAUGUAACAAUAGUAAAUACUCCCUCUGUAACUUCAUACAAGACAUUUUUUGACACUGUCAUAGACUCUAAAAACGUCUUAUAAAAAGUUACAGAAGUAGAACAAUACUGAAUAUUAUUCCACAAGUGAAAGCAGAGUUUCGACCACAUGGCUCAUGCUCGGUCUUCUGCUCCAGUCCUCUUGCACACAUGAUAUUGCUAUCUUAAGCAUUACUGUAGCUUCUGAAUGGUUGAACUGGCGAUUGUUUUCACUCUUCCUGUCAUUGCUGAUUCUGUUGAAUCAUAUAACUUCUAUAGCUGUGAGUACUGAGUAAUCCAUUACAUUCUGUUCUUUAAUCUGUCAGCUGCAUGAUAAAUCAGGUACUCCAUCUAGAUUUGAUACAUUUCUGUUUGCUAUCAAUCUAGAUCACUAGGAUUGCAUAUUUCUUCAAAUAACUGAAAGUAGAUGUGUUUUGUUAUAUGGACCUAAGCAUCCAAACAGAAAGACAGAAUGAAAUACAUAGUACUCCUAGUUACUGGAUAGUACUCCAUCUUAAGAAACUAGUUAUUGGUACAAAUCCGGAGAGUCUCUAGAUAUGGCAGGGAAAGGCUUGCAGCAAUUUUUCUGCAACAUCACAGAAUAUUGAGGAACGGAGGGAGUAGUUCGUACUCCCUCUUAAGAAACUAGGUAUUGACACAAAUCUGGAGAGCCGCUACAUAUGGCAGCGAUAAGGCUUGCAGCAACUUUUCUGCGACACCACAUAAUGUUAUUCUUAUAUCAGCUAGAUGUAACAAUAGUAAUACAAUACUGAAUAUUACUCCACAAGUGAAAGCAAAGUUUCGACCACGUGGCUCAUGCUUGGUCUUCUGCUCCUGUCCUCUUGUACACAUGAUAUUGCUAUCUUAAGCAUUACUGUAGCUUCUGACUGGUUGAAUUCUCCAUCCAGUCUGUGGUCGACAAACUCCAGAAGCCAUGACUGGUCUUCGCCUGCUAGUUUUUCUUUAAGGAUUUCAAUAGAGCAUAUACCAGCCAUUUCAACCUCCUCCUCGCCCUCAGCCACCCAUCUGGAAAGACGAACCCCCUUCACUAACUCAAGAAGCACUACGCCGUAGCUGUAAACAUCGGCCUUCCCAUUGAUUGGAAGAUUUAGAGCCCAUUCUGGUGCAAUGUAGCCUCUAGUCCCAUGCACUUUUGACAACAUUUCUGCGCUUGAUCCUCGCUGUUGUAGCUUCAUCAGUCCAAAAUCUGCAAUCUUGGGCUGAAAGUCUCUAUCUAACAAUAUGUUCUCUGGUUUGACAUCACAGUGGACAAUCCAUUCAAGACACUCAUGAUGGAGAUAGGCCAGUCCUUUUGCCACCCCAAGUGCAAUAUUGUACCUUUGGCCCCAUUGGAGCACAGGAGAAUUACUCUGGUGAUCAAAAAGAACUGCGGCCAAGGAACCAUUCUCGAUGAACUCUGAAACCAAGAGCUUGUGCGUCUUCUCGACACAAAACCCCCAAAUUCUGACGAGAUUCAUAUGAUAAAUUCUGCCUAUGACACUUAUCUCAGACCUGAACUCCUGCUCUCCUUGGAUCACAUCGUUUAGCUUCUUCACUGCGACCUUCCUUGCAUCAUCGAGGACUCCCUUGUAAACUGCUCCUGAUCCACCGCUUCCUAGCUCUUCUUGGAAGCAACUGGUUGCCUUCUGUAACUCCCUGUAGCUAAAUAUUCGGAACUGGCUGGAAAUUAUCGUGUAACCUUCAUCUAUAAUCUCUGGUCUUCCCUCCCAUUUGUGAACAACCCAACACCCGGCGAUGAUUAAUAUCACUUCAAUGAAAAGCAGUGUUAAUGCAGAAGAAAGGAAGUAGCCAAACUUGAAGUUAGAAGAGCCAUCCUGGAACAAUAGCGAUGUACUGUUGGCCUCCUUUUGAUGAACUUUGCAUUCAUGGGUUACGGUAGAAGCCAAUUCUGAGGAAGACAGCGCUCCCCUGGGAACUUUCAGAUAAAUGUCAGUGUGAGGGUUCGGAAAGUUCUUGCCGUUAAAAAGAUAGACCUUUGUGAAACAUUUGCCUUCUCCCUGACGGUAACCAAAGGCUUGGCAAUUAGCAUUGUCCAAGCACAAAUCUUUGCAGUUCCGAAUUGUCACCCGCUCCCAGUAGAGCAAGUCAUACCCAAUGAAAUCAGCUCCCGCGACCUUUCUGAAUGAGAAAUCCUGGGUGGCCCUGAGGUUUGCCUUGCGCCUGCACCCUUUGCUCCAGUCGCUUGCAUCGACCACCUCAAAGCCUCUGAGGCAAGAGCACUGGAGCUUGGGUAUGUACUUGCAGAGGCUGUUUUUGCCGCAGAGUCCAUGAAUAUUGCAGACUCCGCGGAAUACCAUCCAAGAGACCGACCAGCCGCCGGUGGUCGCGUUCAGGCUGUACAGCCUGAGAUUGCCAUCGUAAUCCAGAGUCAACCUCCUCAUGACCUUAUCACCAAGAUCAGAAGCUGCGAAUUUGAAGUUGUCGCUCGCGGCGAACCGGCCUGUCUGCUCAAGAACUCCAUACUGGCUACUGUUGUAGGUAGUCCUGUGAUUCACAAGCGGGGUGGUGAAAGGGUCAGGCCAGUACACGCUACUGACCUCAGGGCCGUUGUAGAUGAGCUUGAGCUGGUUGUCAUUGUCAAAGUAGAAUGCAUACAACCCUGAUGAGAGCAAACCCCUGGCAGACGCAGACACCAGCUUUGUGUGCCGGGUCAUCGGCUGCGACGGCAGAAGCGUGUCGGUGGGUGAGUCGAAGCUCCCCCAGAGGCGCCGGCCGUUUGGAUCGACGACGACAAGGUCGCCGCUGUCGAGGAGCUCCACGCGGCUGGCACGGGUCGCGCUUGUGUUGGUGCUCCAGACGGCCGCGCCAUUGUAGUCGAGCAGGGCCAGGGCCCCGUCCUUCCGGAAGGCGAGCCUGGACCCCCUGCCGUUCACCGGCGCGUCGCGGUUGACCGUCCACGCGACGGUCUUGGCCGAUGAGGAGCGGAACCAGAUGGAGAAGGUGUAGGCGUUGGUGGCCACCCUGUAGAAGCCGCAGGCGAAGGCGCCAUUGGGCGACGCCAGGAUGGUGGUGGUGGUGGCCUUGGUGCCAUCCUCGAUGGACACCGAGGAGCCUCUGGCGAGGUAGCUGCCGCCAUUGGUGUGAUCCUUUGCAAGAGCGACGGGGAUCAGCAGGAGGAGGAGUGAGAUGGAUGUGGUGAAGGCCACAGCAGUCGUCAUCUGGUUUCUGCUGAUGCGUUCAGUGCUACAGCCUACAGCCAUGUAUAUAUCACACACAUGAGUGUUGAAAAAAAGAGUACGCUCACGUGCCAAGUUGCCGAGUUACUGUAGUAGCAUGUACUAGUCGCAUGCUACGGACCUGGACGGCAAGUCCUUUUAGUCCGUACAGAAAAUGGAUCCCGGAUAUUACCAGAUGGAGUAUAAUAAUGAGCGAUGAAGAUAAAGGUAGGGAGCGAUGGUUCCAGCCUUCCAGGUUCAGUAUGGAGCAAAGAGCCGACAAGGACGCAUAAUUUCAGGUUGACCGAGAUCUGUCUUGAUGAGAGAGGAAAACACGUGCUUCAUCAGCUUAGAAGAUAGAGGUGAUUGCCGUGAUGGUCGCCCUGUGAUGAUAUGGUGUGCAGGGUUUUACGCUAGAACCGAGUAGCAUAGCAUUCUCUUGUGAGGAAAGGUAGGGAACGCGAUGGUUCCAGGUAUUGAGCAAGAGCCGGCAAGGUUGACCGUGGCUUGUCUCGAGUGAGAGAGAAGCCACGUGCUCAGCUUCAUCAGCCUGACGGCUCUGUUUUCUUCCCAUUCCUGGUCGUAGGUGAGUGAUACCGUGAUGGUCCUGUGAUCAGUAAGGUGUGCAGAAUUUUAUACUACCAGAACCGAGCGGCAGCAUUCCUCUUGUGCUUCCGUGGAAAACCCGGUGUCCCAACUUGACAGGAGCGUGGCUUCGGUGCUUGUGUUGUGUGUUAUCAGCUUUCAGUAAUGAAAGGAAAUUUAGCCGGAGAAAUGCUGUGAUCUGGCAAGAAAGAAAGAAAGUCUUAUCUGUAAUCGUUGCGCUUGCGCUGACCAGUCUCCUUUGGUGCAGAUGUGGUUGCUUCUUCCAAUGGCCGCUGGAUCAAGUUAAACGAUCACGGACGAGUGGACGAGCUCCACUCUGAUUUAAGUCAGCGAAGCAUCCAAAGAUGAGGACUUGUUCCAUUCUGAUUACCCCCGGGCUGUUGCGGUGUUGGACGUUUUGUACCUGAAUGAAGUACCUUGUUUGACGCUGGUGUUCACAGUGCUUCCUGUUGGCUUUGUAAAAACUGUGCUGUAUAUAAACAAGAAAUGGCAAAAGGAGAGAGAGCCACCUAGAGCUGAACAAGAACGAUCCUCUGCAGGCAUGGGAUCAGUCAGACUGAUCUGAGCCGUUAAUCACGCUCUGGCCCACAGGUCAGAUGUGCUUGCCUCCUU